rnacentral:rRNA from 1 species
CACUCCUGCGGGAGGCAGCAGUGGGGAAUAUUGGACAAUGGGCGCAAGCCUGAUCCAGCCAUGCCGCGUGAGUGAUGAAGGCCCUAGGGUUGUAAAGCUCUUUCACCGGUGAAGAUAAUGACGGUAACCGGAGAAGAAGCCCCGGCUAACUUCGUGCCAGCAGCCGCGGUAAUACGAAGGGGGCUAGCGUUGUUCGGAUUUACUGGGCGUAAAGCGCACGUAGGCGGACUAUUAAGUCAGGGGUGAAAUCCCGGGGCUCAACCCCGGAACUGCCUUUGAUACUGGUAGUCUUGAGUUCGAGAGAGGUGAGUGGAAUUCCGAGUGUAGAGGUGAAAUUCGUAGAUAUUCGGAGGAACACCAGUGGCGAAGGCGGCUCACUGGCUCGAUACUGACGCUGAGGUGCGAAAGCGUGGGGAGCAAACAGGAUUAGAAACCCCGGUAGUCC